CGGACGGGUGAGUAACGCGUGGGUAACCUGCCUUGUACAGGGGGAUAACAGUUGGAAACGGCUGCUAAUACCGCAUAAGCGCACAGCAUCGCAUGAUGCAGUGUGAAAAACUCCGGUGGUAUAAGAUGGACCCGCGUUGGAUUAGCUAGUUGGUGAGGUAACGGCCCACCAAGGCAACGAUCCAUAGCCGACCUGAGAGGGUGACCGGCCACAUUGGGACUGAGACACGGCCCAA
rnacentral:rRNA from 1 species